rnacentral:tRNA from 1 species
UGGCUCAAUGGUUAAGAGCACUGGCUGCUCUUCCAGAGUCUCUGGGUUCAAUUCCCAG